GCUGCUGUUAGCUGAAUGAAGUGACUGAAGGCCAAAGACGCCUUUCCAAAAAUAGCCUUUUUCCAAAAGCAAAUGCUCUUGCUCAGAUAACUGGUGGGCUUCCAGAUAUUGGUGAAUUGCCACAUUCAAUAUUACAUCACUGGGGUUGUGGUUGGAUUUUUUCCAGCUGUGUUGUUCCAGUCCUUUUAUCAGAGAUGGUCGUCAGAUGAGGAGAUUAUUUCAAUAUAAAAACCUAUCAUAGUAUAUUUUAUGAAAAUAUAAAUUAGUUAUGCUGAGCAGAAAAAAAAUGGAAGUUUGAAAGAGAAUUCAAUCUCUUUCAAAAAAAAUAAAUCCAAAUGGCACAAAGCCAGCCUAUCUGUGGGACUGCCUUUCCCUAAGAAUAUCUACUUGCCCUACCAGGUUAGACAUAUCAAUUCAAGUUAAACUAUAUACUCACAUGGAUAUACUGUAUGUGUAACUUUUUAUGUUGCUAACAGACAACAGUAUAUUUGGAUAACCUAAUAUCUAGUAAUUGCAGCCCUGGAGCAGAAAAAAAAAAUUAGAUA